rnacentral:rRNA from 1 species
UACGGAGGGUGCAAGCGUUGUUCGGAAUUAUUGGGCGUAAAGGGCAGGUAGGUGGUCUUGACAGUCUACUGUGAAAUCCCUGAGCUUAACUCAGGAAGUGCGGUGGAUACUACAAGACUAGAGUGCCGGAGGGGUACGUGGAAUUCCCGGUGUAGCGGUGGAAUGCGUAGAUAUCGGGAGGAACACCAGAGGCGAAGGCGGCGUACUGGACGGCAACUGACACUCAACUGCGAAAGCGUGGGGAGCAAACAGG